CCUCUUUGAGCCUGAUUUCUCUCUGAUUUCAGUUAUAGAAUUUGUACACUUCCACUUUGGUUCAACAGCUCUUCCUGCUAUGGGCAGCUCCUCUUCAAGGUGUAGGGAUUUUUGUGGAGCAAUUUCUGAAUUCUAUUAAGGUAACAAGCAAAUCUCCUUUGGUGCUCUGGAUCUGCACUGUGGGAAGUAAAGGUGAUUUCUUGCACCAAGUGUCUGCUCCACGUGCUUUCUGACUGCAGCCUCUCCUUUAUCUGCAAGUCUCCCUGCCUUCUCCUUCUACACGUUGAGACCAGCUGCCUCAGAGUUUCUGCCCCACCUGAGCUUUGCUGCAGUGUAUGCUAGACCUCUUGUCUUAAGCAUUUGGCUUUCAUCUUCUGUGGAAGGGGACUUUUGAGUAAAGUUUCACUUGUCCUUAGCGUGAUGUCUCCAUGAAGUGAAUUCAUUCUGGUGACAGCUUCUUGUCAUCAGCCUGAGAUUCAUAUGGCCCAUAGAGAAUCAUUCUCAUGACCAAAGAACAGUCACAAGUGUGUCUUGUAGAGGGUGGAAGUACGCAAAGAAUCAUCUCUCUCCCAGAAAGAAAGAAGUACCUGCAGCAACAAAGGAGUUUUCUGGAGCUGAGUGUAAGUUCUUUACUACUGGUUGCAAAAUCAACAUCCAAGGGAAGGAAUACACAAUUCUGGCUGCUCAGUUAAGGUUGCUUUAUUGUAUCUGCAUGAAUGUUGAACUUCUUUUGGAAAGAAUAAAUGCAUUAUUUAAACAUA